UUCUCUUUAUCUCCAUCAGAAGAGAAAAUCCAGAGGGAACCUAAGGUGCUCUACAGAAGGAAGAUCAGAGACCAAUUCAGAAGGAAAGAUAAAGUUUCCCCUUCUCUUCUUCUCCUUCGGUGCGCUGCUCUAGAACCAUAUGGCAACUUCCUUUCUCUCACGAGUGGCAGCAUAGCGGCAAUGGUGUGGUACAACAACAGAGGCGCGACCCAUGGGGAUUUCAAUGGUGGUUCGUACGGUGGAUCUCGCGACAGGUUUCUGGAGAUUGGCAAAACUUCGCCAUGGUUUGGCCGUUGGGUCUCUGAUUCUUGGUGUUUGUUUUUGGCCCUGGUUUUCUGCAAGUGGAGGGUCGUGUCACAAUGGUUCUGUGUUUCGCCUUCUCUCCAUUGCGGCAGCGGUUCAAACGCCUCACUCUUAGCCAUAUCUGGUGGUUCGCACUCGCGACAGUAAGGUCAUGGUGGCACUAUGUCAUGGUGGUAGUGUGUGUUCUUUGUUAGUGGCUGGUUUAGAUCAAGAGGCGAGAAUCGUUCUCUAUAGCGGCGUUCUCUCCUUCUCUAGGGUGGUGGUUGGCAGCGGAAGAUCUGUUUACGUCUACGGAUUGCACUUCAUGUCUGCAAGGGACAAGUCGUGAUGGGCUCGCGACAGUUUGCACAGUGGCUAGCGAGGUGGCUCGCAGCGACAGUGGUAGUUCUGUAACAACAGAUCUAGUUGCGUCUUCGACGGGGCUCUCUCGUUCAUGGAGUGUGUUGCCAAUGGUAACUCGAGCCUUGCGGGUAGUGACCCAGGCCCAAUCUAGGAAGGUCAAUAAGGCACAAUCUUAGAAGGUCCAAUAAGGCAGAUCCAUUUUGGGGAUUUUUUAUUUAAUGGACAUGGGUUUGGAUCUAA